rnacentral:tRNA from 1 species
GGGCGAGUGGCGGAACUGGUAGACGCGCUAGACUCAAAAUCUGGUUCUCGCAAGAGAGUAAGGGUUCGAUUCCCUUCCCGCCCACCA